AUUGAACGCUGGCGGCAGGCUUAGCACAUGCAAGUCGAGCGGGGGAAGGUAGCUUGCUACCGGACCUAGCGGCGGACGGGUGAGUAAUGCUUAGGAAUCUGCCUAUUAGUGGGGGACGACAUCUCGAAAGGGAUGCUAAUACCGCAUACGUCCUACGGGAGAAAGCAGGGGAUCUUCGGACCUUGCGCUAAUAGAUGAGCCUAAGUUGGAUUAGCUAGUUGGUGGGGUAAAGGCCUACCAAGGCGACGAUCUGUAGCGGGUCUGAGAGGAUGAUCCGCCACACUGGGACUGAGACACGGCCCAGACUCCUACGGGAGGCAGCAGUGGGGAAUAUUGGACAAUGGGGGGAACCCUGAUCCAGCCAUGCCGCGUGUGUGAAGAAGGCCUUAUGGUUGUAAAGCACUUUAAGCGAGGAGGAGGCUACUUUAGUUAAUACCUAGAGAUAGUGGACGUUACUCGCAGAAUAAGCACCGGCUAACUCUGUGCCAGCCGCCGCGGUAA
rnacentral:rRNA from 1 species